rnacentral:lncRNA from 1 species
GUUGAAAGUAGAUACACAGUUGCCAGAAGAUAUAAACUAUGGAAAAUAUGCAUGCUUCCUUUGGACAGCUUGGGAAUCUCACCUGGGUCUGACAUUGUGAGAUCUACUAUCUGCACGCCGAGGACAGAGAAACUUCAGAUCUGAGUUUAAGAAAAAUACAAACUGAGAUGCAGUUCUAUUUUGCAAAGUAUAUGAAGGAGCUAGCCAGAAUUUGACUUUGAAGAGAUGAAGAUGUUUACAUUGCAUGUUUGCUCAGAUUUUCUAAGCAGAAAGCAUAUUUGAAAUUAAUGUGUGCAUAAUUAAUGUGCUAUUUUUACAGGUUAAUUCUCUGGGUACAAAUACAAAUGCAAGUGUUCUNNNNNNNNNNNNNNNNNNNNNNNNCUGCUGAAAAACGUAGAAGUUGAGAGUGCUAUACAAAUCGAGUGUCUGCAGAUGCUAGAGGUACCAGCUUCUACUGUCAUCCUUACAGAUGUGCUGUAGAGGACUUUUUACAGAAGAAGGUAAUAGAGAUCAAAAGUUCCAAUAUCUUGGUAGGAGAGAAUUGGAAUGAAAGUAACUGGGUUUUACUGCUUUGGAUUGACCAAGAGUCCUGUAUUGUUGCAAAGCCAGGAAAUCAAGCUAAGAUACCAUUUUUUUUUGCUGCAAAAGUGCUAUUCUACAAGCCAGGAUUGUUUUUGAGAAGGCUUAAGAAUAUUUUCGUGUAAUAUGCAGUACUCAUUCAGGAACUCUUCCUGAUGAACUCUCUGAAGCAGUGAGUCUAUCAAGCAAGACUGAUCUUGGUCAUACUGCAGUGAUGCUCUUUAUACUCUGAAGCUGAAGGUAUUUUUGAUGUUUGUUCAUGCCUCUGAGAACUUACUGAUUUCAGUCCACAUUGC